UACGUAGGUGACAAGCGUUGUCCGGAUUUACUGGGCGUAAAGAGCGCGCAGGCGGUCGUUCAAGUCGAGUGUGAAAGCCCCCGGCUCAACUGGGGAGGGUCACUCGAUACUGAUCGACUCGAAGGCAGGAGAGGGUAGUGGAAUUCCCGGUGUAGUGGUGAAAUGCGUAGAUAUCGAGAGGAACACCAGUGGCGAAGGCGGCUCUCUGGGCCCUACCUGACGCUGAGACGCGAAAGCGUGGGGAGCGAACCGG
rnacentral:rRNA from 1 species